rnacentral:rRNA from 1 species
UGAACGCUGGCGGCGUGCCUAAUACAUGCAAGUCGAGCGAACAGACGAGGAGCUUGCUCCUCUGACGUUAGCGGCGGACGGGUGAGUAACACGUGGAUAACCUACCUAUAAGACUGGGAUAACUUCGGGAAACCGGAGCUAAUACCGGAUAAUAUAUUGAACCGCAUGGUUCAAUAGUGAAAGACGGUUUUGCUGUCACUUAUAGAUGGAUCCGCGCCGCAUUAGCUAGUUGGUAAGGUAACGGCUUACCAAGGCAACGAUGCGUAGCCGACCUGAGAGGGUGAUCGGCCACACUGGAACUGAGACACGGUCCAGACUCCUACGGGAGGCAGCAGUAGGGAAUCUUCCGCAAUGGGCGAAAGCCUGACGGAGCAACGCCGCGUGAGUGAUGAAGGUCUUCGGAUCGUAAAACUCUGUUAUUAGGGAAGAACAAAUGUGUAAGUAACUAUGCACGUCUUGACGGCACCUAAUCAGAAAGCCACGGCUAACUACGUG